rnacentral:rRNA from 1 species
GACGAACGCUGGCGGCGUGCUUAACACAUGCAAGUCGAACGGAAAGGCCUGCUUUCCCUUGUGGAUUGCGGGUACUCGAGUGGCGAACGGGUGAGUAACACGUGAGUGAUCUGCCCCCAACUUGGGUAUAAGCCUGGGAAACUGGGUCUAAUUCCCGAUAGGACUGCAGGGUGGUGCCUGUGGUGGAAAACGAUUUUCUAGUGGUUGGGGAUGAGCUCGCGGCCUAUCAGCUUGUUGGUGGGGUAAUGGCCUACCAAGGCGGCGACGGGUAGCCGGCCUGAGAGGGUGGACGGCCACAUUGGGACUGAGAUACGGCCCAGACUCCUACGGGAGGCAGCAGUGGUGAAUAUUGCACAAUGGGCGGAAGCCUGAUGCAGCGACGCCGCGUGGGGGAUGACGGCCUUCGGGUUGUAAACUCCUUUCGACCGCGAGGAAGCCACCUGGUUGGAAGGGUGGUGACGGUAGUGGUAGAAGAAGCACCGGCUAACUACGUG